GCUCUCAGGGGGCAUCUAAACGUAGGAUCCUUUGGGUCCUGUGCAUUGAGUAACAGUAGGGAGACUCCACCUGGUGGGAAGGUGGAAACAGCAAUGCCAAGAGUGCAAGUCUGUCCUACGAUGCCCCAGACCAGAUACUCGUGAAAUCAUCGGACGUGUCUGAUGCCUGCUUCACCUGUGUGGGCUGACCGGGGGGAAAAAAGGUGUUUUUUCCCCACUGAAAUCCUGUGGAAGGGCGAUUCAUCUUUUCACCAGCCAUAUCAGUGUCCCUGAGCCUGACAGACAAUCUCUGUCUUGCUCAGGGACACUCCAGCAGAACAAGACAUUUGCUUUCGUAGCUGACUUGAGCUCUUUCAGAGGUCUGGCUCCAGGAGGGGCCGUGUGGACCUUUAUCUUUAUCGUAAUGUGUCAAAGGACAAGACACGUGAAAACACUGAGGCUGUGUGAAAGGUGUUGUUUGUAGUGAUGAACCAGCAGACAAUUAGUUCAUGUAGUUUAAAUGAAAAAAAAGGAAAGAAAUCCACUGUGUUGACAUUCAGGAAAUUACAUCCAUAUGCUCAGCAAAACUGAUGGAGCUGCUCAUGUUGUAGCUCCGAGUUAUUAAUUCCUGACUUAACAUACAGGCUGCAUUCGCACUACUGUAAAUCAGAUCUCGGUCUGAGUAGCCUUUCUUUUAUUACCUGAGGAUGGGAAUGAAUCUCCGUGGAGCCAUCCUAUUUAAGUCAGGGGAUUCACAUGCUAAUGGCUGUGUUGAGAGCAAAGGCAAAGCUGUAAAUGGAAACCAGGAGAAGAGAGACUUCUGAACUUCCGAGCAUGAACCGAGGAGGGUGUGAAAAUGUAUGCUGCAGCUUAACACCCACAUAAUCAUAGUUUCUUUCCAGGUGUACAGCAACUCCAGGAGAUGAAUUGGAUAGAAGACAGUCCAGUAAUUAGUGGCAGGCAGACACACUGCAGGCUUUGCUGUUAUAUCCUAUUUGCUGAGAGAAUAAUUAUAAAUUUCCCUUAUCAGUCUGUGUGGACUCGAAAGUCUUCAUUGGGUUUGAUAACUUCAUCCACUGAAAACAACGUCAAGUCUAUUCAUCUAGAAUUGUAUUUCCUCAGGGACUGUCAGUGAAUAAUCACCACGACCACCAUGUGGUACUGUAAACCUUUAGGAAGUUUUUUGAUAAAACUGUCCUUUUAUAGGACACAUGUUGAAGCUGUUUCUAAAAACAUAUGGACUGAUUGAUGCACUGUACAAAUACUCGCAACACACUGUAUUUAAUGAGAAAUAUAAGAAAGUAGAAGGACAUUAAAUUAAUGAAUAAAAAAAGCUGAUUUGUUUCUGUAACUGCAAAGUUGCUGUGCAGAUGAUAUCAAAGAUGAGGAGAUUUGCUUGCGUUUCUUAAUUCUCUUAGCCCCUUUAUGCAUACUGUCAAGAUGUUUGACAACCAGGGGGCAGAAAAGCCAAAACUAUAGACAUAAUUCAGUGCAAAUUUUGAAACUCAAAGCCACUUUCCAGAGGUUGAAAUGAAAAUCAAUAAAUCAAAGACGUGAAAACUUCAUUCUGUGAGG